rnacentral:rRNA from 1 species
UACGGAGGGUGCAAGCGUUAUCCGGAUUCACUGGGUUUAAAGGGUGCGUAGGCGGGUUGGUAAGUCCGUGGUGAAAUCCCCAAGCUUAACUUGGGAACUGCCGUGGAUACUAUCAAUCUUGAAUACUGUGGAGGUUAGCGGAAUAUGUCAUGUAGCGGUGAAAUGCUUAGAUAUGACAUAGAACACCAAUUGCGAAGGCAGCUGGCUACACAAUUAUUGACACUGAGGCUCGAAAGCGUGGGGAUCAAACAGG